rnacentral:rRNA from 1 species
AACGAACGCUGGCGGCAGGCCUAACACAUGCAAGUCGAACGAGAAGCCACCUUCGGGUGGUGGACAGUGGCAGACGGGUGAGUAACGCGUGGGAACGUGCCUUUCGGUUCGGAAUAACCCGGGGAAACUUGGGCUAAUACCGGAUACGCCCUUCGGGGGAAAGAUUCAUCGCCGAAAGAUCGGCCCGCGUCGGAUUAGCUAGUUGGUGGGGUAAUGGCUCACCAAGGCGACGAUCCGUAGCUGGUCUGAGAGGAUGACCAGCCACACUGGGACUGAGACACGGCCCAGACUCCUACGGGAGGCAGCAGUGGGGAAUAUUGGACAAUGGGCGCAAGCCUGAUCCAGCCAUGCCGCGUGGGUGAAGAAGGCCUUAGGGUUGUAAACCCCUUUCAGCGGGGAAGAUAAUGACGGUACCCACAGAAGAAGUCCCGGCUAACUCCGUGCCAGCAGCCGCCGUAAGAC